UAUUCUCAAUUCUCAUCCAUCUGAGUCUCCUCUCUGUCUGUGUGUAUCUGUGGCGGCGUUGUUUCUCUUGUACAUAUGUUUCUUUUCUAACACAGACUCGCUCCUCUUUUUUUUACUUUCCCUAACUUUCAAAUCAACGGGUAGAUUUUGAAUUGUGCGAUGCGGCGCGGCAGAGCGACAGCGAAGCUGCCGGAGGCGAUUCACGGCGGCGAUUUCAACGGAUCUGGUGUUUCUAACAAGGAUGUGAGAUUCCGCGGCGUGCGGAAGAGGCCAUGGGGCCGAUUCGCAGCUGAGAUCAGGGAUCCGUUGAAGAAGGCUCGCGUGUGGCUCGGCACCUUCGACUCGGCCGAGGACGCCGCCCGCGCCUACGACGCCGCCGCUCGCUCCCUCCGCGGCUCCAAGGCCAAAACGAAUUUCCCCCUCUCCCCCAAUUUCAAUCCCCAAAACCUUAAUUUGGAUCCUAAUUUCAAUCCCCCGCGACAGAGACCAACCUCUAGCGGCAUGAGCAGCACCGUUGAGUCCUUCAGCGGGCCCCGUCAGCUACCCCUCCCACCGCCGAGGAGUUAUAAUCCGCGUGUGGCUCCGGAUGAUUGUCGCAGCGAUUGUGAUUCUUCCUCCUCCGUGGUUGAUGACGACAUCGCGUCUUCCUCUAGUAAAAACCCCUUGCCUUUUGAUCUUAACAUGCCGCCGCCGCUGCCUCUCGACGCCAUUGAUGCUGAUUUCGAAGAGCUAGCUUGCACGGCGCUCCGCCUCUGACGCGUGUCAGGCUAUUGUUUUCUACUUGUUUUUUGGAUUUAAGCUCUCUUUGCCGCACGAUCUUGUCUCUUAGUGGCUUACACGAAGAUUGAUUGGUUCUCUUGAUUAUGCACGAAGAUUGAUUGGUUCUCUUGAUCAUGGACAACAAAAGGGGUUUUAUUAGACUUGCUAGUUUAUCAGGUAUUCCAUCUAUGGUAUAAAUGGUUGCUUCACCAGAAUGCGUGGGGAUGAGGGAUUUUUUUAUUUGUGUUUGGUCACUUGGUAAUUUUGACUGUAACUGAUUGUGAAGCUAUUCCGCAGCAAUUUUGAAGCUAUUCCAUAACAAUUUUGAAUCUAUUCCACAACAAAUUGCUUACCA